rnacentral:rRNA from 1 species
UACGGAGGGAGCUAGCGUUGUUCGGAAAUACUGGGCGUAAAGCGAACGUAGGCGGCAUGGCCAGUCAGGGGUGAAAUCCCGGAGCUCAACUCCGGAACUGCCUCUGAAACUGCCAAGCUAGAAUCCUGGAGAGGCGAGUGGAAUUCCGAGUGUAGAGGUGAAAUUCGUAGAUAUUCGGAAGAACACCAGUGGCGAAGGCGACUCGCUGGACAGGUAUUGACGCUGAGGUUCGAAAGCGUGGGGAGCAAAC